UCCCUGGUGGUCCAGUGGUUAAGACUUUGCACUUCCAAUGAAGGGGACACAGGUUUGAUCCCUGGUCAGGGAA